CGGUAAUUCCAGCUCCAAUAGCGUAUACUAAAGUUGUUGCAGUUAAAAAGCUCGUAGUUGGAUUUCUGCGGGGACGGAGCGGCCGGUCGCAACUUGCGACUCGAGCUAGCGCUUUCCCCGCAUCCUGCCGCGAACCGUGCUACCAUUAGCUUGGUGGCGCUGGGGAUCGGCUCGAUUACUUUGAGAAAAAUAGAGUGUUCAAAGCAGGCCACACGCCUUGAAUAAGUUAGCAUGGAAUAAUGACUAAGGACUUUGGUUCUUUUCGUUGGUGUUCGGGACUGAAGUAAUGAUUGAUAGGGACAGUUGGGGCGGUCCGUAUUCCAAAGCGAGAGGUGAAAUUCUUAGACCUUCGGAAGACGAACAGCUGCGAAAGCGUUCCGCAAGGAUGUUCCCUUUGAUCAAGAACGAAAGUUGGGGGAUCGAAGACGAUCAGAUACCGUCGUAGUCUCAACUAUAAACUAUACCAGCUAGGGAUCGGCCAACGUUUAAUUUAUCGACUUGGUCGGCACCUUAUGAGAAAUCAAAGCAUCUGGGUUCCGGGGGGAGUAUGGUCGCAAGGCUGAAACUUAAAGGAAUUGACGGAAGGGCACCACCAGCCGUGGAGCCUGUGGCUUAAUUUGACUCAACACGGGAAAACUUACCAGGUCCGGACAUAGUAAGGAUUGACAGAUUGAUAGCUCUUUCUUGAUUCUGUGGGUGGUGGUGCAUGGCCGUUUUUAGUCGGUGGAUGCGAUCUGUCUGCUUAAUUGCGUUAACGGACGAGACCCCAGCCUGCUAAAUAGCGCGGCCGAGCUUUGCUCGGUGCGAGCUUCUUAGAGGGACCAUGAUGCGCGAUAGCACAAGGAAGUUUGGGGCAACAACAGGUCUGUGAUGCCCUUAGAUGUUCUGGGCCGCACACGGGCUACACUGGCGCCUGCAACGAGCAUAUCAGCUGGCCCGAGAGGGUCUUGGCUAAUCUUUGGAACCGGCGCCGUGCUUGGGAUUGACCAUUGCAAUUGUUGGUCAUGCAACGAGGAAUGCCUUGUAAACGCGAGUCAUCAGCUCGCAUUGAAUACGUCCCUGCUCCUUGUAGACACCGCCC
rnacentral:rRNA from 1 species